rnacentral:ncRNA from 1 species
GUAGUAGGUUUUGGAGCAGCAGGAAGAGAGAUAAAUCCUAAGGUCGCAGCUGCCUUCUUGGUUCGGAUUGUUCUCUGUAACUCGGGAACAUGAAGUUGGAAUCGCUAGUAAUCGCGGAUCAGCAUGCCGCGGU